GUUUUUCCCCCAGGGAGACGCUCUAGCAUGUGUGACAUUUAUGGGAGACUCAGUGAAGGGGGACAACAGGUGACUCAAGAAGAGAGUGAAUAACUGGUGGUGUCACACAGCAUGUGUGCAGGGCUGGCCUUGGAGUGCAGAAGAGGAUGAUCAAAGUCGUCUCUGAUGGCUUCUAAUUUCUCUGUGAGGUUUGGCUUGGUAGGAGCUGUGUGGCCAGUUAGAAAGCUGAUGUUUCCUGGAGCUACCUCUCUCCACUCUGCCCCCACCAGUGAGCUGCAUAAACUGGUCUCUCUGGUUUGGAUGGAAAAAAAGCACACAGGACACAAGACCCAAAGCAAGGUCUAUACAGUACUGGUCCAGGGGGCUCACCGGAAUGGACUUACAGAAACAUUGCUGAUGAAGCCCCCAGUCCUCAUGGCUCCUAUUACUGUAUAUAUUCAAUUACAACAAAUUU
rnacentral:lncRNA from 1 species